rnacentral:rRNA from 1 species
GUGGCGAACGGGUGAGUAACACGUGAGUAACCUGCCCUUGACUCUGGGAUAAGCCUGGGAAACUGGGUCUAAUACCGGAUAUGACUGUCUGACGCAUGUCAGGUGGUGGAAAGCUUUUGUGGUUUUGGAUGGACUCGCGGCCUAUCAGCUUGUUGGUGGGGUAAUGGCCUACCAAGGCGACGACGGGUAGCCGGCCUGAGAGGGUGACCGGCCACACUGGGACUGAGACACGGCCCAGACUCCUACGGGAGGCAGCAGUGGGGAAUAUUGCACAAUGGGCGCAAGCCUGAUGCAGCGACGCCGCGUGAGGGAUGACGGCCUUCGGGUUGUAAACCUCUUUCAGUAGGGAAGAAGCGAAAGUGACGGUACCUGCAGAAGAAGCGCCGGCUAACUACGUGCCAGCAGCCGCGGUAAUACGUAGGGCGCAAGCGUUAUCCGGAAUUAUUGGGCGUAAAGAGCUCGUAGGCGGUUUGUCGCGUCUGCUGUGAAAGACCGGGGCUCAACUCCGGUUCUGCAGUGGGUACGGGCAGACUAGAGUGAUGUAGGGGAGACUGGAAUUCCUGGUGUAGCGGUGAAAUGCGCAGAUAUCAGGAGGAACACCGAUGGCGAAGGCAGGUCUCUGGGCAUUAACUGACGCUGAGGAGCGAAAGCAUGGGGAGCGAACAGGAUUAGAUACCCUGGUAGUCCAUGCCGUAAACGUUGGGCACUAGGUGUGGGGGACAUUCCACGUUUUCCGCGCCGUAGCUAACGCAUUAAGUGCCCCGCCUGGGGAGUACGGCCGCAAGGCUAAAACUCAAAGGAAUUGACGGGGGCCCGCACAAGCGGCGGAGCAUGCGGAUUAAUUCGAUGCAACGCGAAGAACCUUACCAAGGCUUGACAUGAACCGGUAAUACCUGGAAACAGGUGCCCCGCUUGCGGUCGGUUUACAGGUGGUGCAUGGUUGUCGUCAGCUCGUGUCGUGAGAUGUUGGGUUAAGUCCCGCAACGAGCGCAACCCUCGUUCUAUGUUGCCAGCGCGUUAUGGCGGGGACUCAUAGGAGACUGCCGGGGUCAACUCGGAGGAAGGUGGGGACGACGUCAAAUCAUCAUGCCCCUUAUGUCUUGGGCUUCACGCAUGCUACAAUGGCCGGUACAAAGGGUUGCGAUACUGUGAGGUGGAGCUAAUCCCAAAAAGCCGGUCUCAGUUCGGAUUGGGGUCUGCAACUCGACCCCAUGAAGUCGGAGUCGCUAGUAAUCGCAGAUCAGCAACGCUGCGGUGAAUACGUUCCCGGGCCUUGUACACACCGCCCGUCAAGUCACGAAAGUUGGUA